rnacentral:lncRNA from 1 species
CUGCGCCGGCCAGCCCGCAGUCAAUGCCCUUUGCCUGCACGAAAACAGGCUAGACACAGAGUCGCCUUGGUGAACACAGAAGGAUAUUGAGUGCACACGCGCCCCCACCAGUACACGCUAUUUAGAAUAAUAAUAUGUGUGGUGCUCCCAAGAGUUCACAAAUGAUUUCGCAUCCCAUCUCUCAUCCAAUCCUUCCAGCUGCCCUGUGAGGUGAGCGGGGCAAAUGUUCCACCCUGCGAUUUACAGAUGAACAAACAGCGGGAGACUUGUUCAAG